rnacentral:rRNA from 1 species
UACGAGGGAUCCUAGCGUUGUUCGGAAUCAUUGGGCGUAAAGGGCGCGUAGGCGGCCUUCUAAGUCGAACGUGAAAUCCCUGGGCUUAACCCAGGAACUGCGUCCGAUACUGGAAGGCUUGAAUCCGGGAGAGGGAUGCGGAAUUCCAGGUGUAGCGGUGAAAUGCGUAGAGAUCGGGAGGAACACCAGUGGCGAAGGCGGCCUUCUGGGCAUUUCCUGACGCUGAGGCGCGAAAGCGUGGGGAGCGAACCGG